rnacentral:rRNA from 1 species
UGCCAGCCGCCGCGGUAAUACAGAGGGUGCGAGCGUUAAUCGGAAUUACUGGGCGUAAAGGGCGCGUAGGCGGCCUGAUAAGUCGGAUGUGAAAGCCCUGGGCUUAACCUGGGAAUUGCGUUCGAUACUGUCAAGCUAGAGUAUGGUAGAGGAAAGCGGAAUUCCGGGUGUAGCGGUGAAAUGCGUAGAUAUCCGGAGGAACAUCAGUGGCGAAGGCGGCUUUCUGGACCAAUACUGACGCUCAGGUGCGAAAGCGUGGGUAGCGAACGGGAUUAGAUA